AGUGUAUGCUUGUUUGUAUGUUGACUAGUGUAUGCUUGUUUGUAUGCAUACACUAGUCAACAUACAAACAAACAUACACU
rnacentral:pre_miRNA from 1 species